GGUAGAGCAAAUCUCAAAAAAACAAUCUCAGUUCAGACUGCAGGCUGCAACUCGCCUGCACGAAGUCGGAAUUGCUAGUAAUCGUAGGUCAGCAUACUACGGUGAAUACGUUCCCGGGCCUUGUACACACCGCCCGUCAAACCAUGAGAGUUGGCAACACCCGAAGUCGGUAGUCUAACCGCAAGGAGGACGCCGCCGAAGGUGGGGUUGAUGAUUAGGGUUAAGUCGUAACAAGGUAAC
rnacentral:rRNA from 1 species